UUUGGUCUAUUCAUUUAUAAACAGACCAAACAAAAAUGCUGAAAAAACAUAUUUUUAUACUUGAUUAUAAUGUAUCAUCCCAAGUACAGGAAAAAAAUGUGUAAGAGAGGGUCUCAUAUAAAAAACCCUUUUUAGUAAGUCAUUUUGUGGGUCUCAACUCACCCACAAUAGAAACUGAUUGUAUCAAAUAAUCUAUCUGUUCUUUUCUCUCAGCUCUCAAAAUUUCAUGUUUUAUACCUCUAUAGUGACCUUUAAAACUUCCUAAAAGGCCAUUUUAAACUGCAAAAAUUAUUUGUUCUGAUGUUUUAAUCAUAAAAAUCUCUCUUUUUUUCCAAUGUUAGGUAACAUUUUGCAAAGCAUUCCUCUAUAUUUUGUUAUAAAGUCUGUUACUUGUAUUAGUAUAAUUUUUCAUUUUAGUUUAAUGCUUGUCUUAAAUCAUUUAUUUCAAUUUUUAAUUUUUUAAUAAAGUUGAUGCUUAUAUUACUAUUUUAAAGCAUUCUUUCAGUUUUAAAAUUAAAGAUGAUCAGGGAAAUGCAAAUUAAAACCACAGUGAGAUACUACCUUACCCCAAUAAGAAUUGUCAUUAUUAAAAAGU
rnacentral:lncRNA from 1 species